UACGUAGGGGGCAAGCGUUGUCCGGAAUCAUUGGGCGUAAAGCGCGUGUAGGCGGCCCGAUAAGUCCGCUGUGAAAGUCCAGGGCUCAACCCUGGGAUGCCGGUCGAUACUGCCGGACUAGAGUUCGGAAGAGGCGAGUGGAAUUCCCGGUGUAGCGGUGAAAUGCGCAGAUAUCGGGAGGAACACCUAUGGCGAAGGCAGCUCGCUGGGACGUUACUGACGCUGAGACGCGAAAGCGUGGGGAGCAAACAGG
rnacentral:rRNA from 1 species